CUCUUUUCUUCUUAAUAAUCUAUUAUUUUAAAAAUAAUUUAUUUAGAAAUAGGGUUUAAUAGCCGGAAGAGCCUAAUACUUCUAUUAAAUCCGGUAUAUUCUCAACGUCCCUUAAAAAUCCGUAGGAGGGAAUAAUUCUUAUAUUAAAUUGUACUUAUAAUUAUAGUAAAUCUCUAAAGUAAAUAACUUUUAAUUAAUAGAAUAAUAUAAAUAAAGGAAAUUAGUAAAAUAGAUUUGUAAUUUCGAGAAAAGGAUUAACUCUAAAGGUUAAGUAUAUUGGGCUUUAGGUAAACGCCUUAAGAGUAGAUCGCUAUUAAUCGGGUAACUGGCCGGCGGCUUUCAAUAUCCGGGUAUAGAAGCCUUUAAUAGACUUCGGUCGUCUGGCGUAUAUUUAAUAACUAAUUUAGAAUUAGUAUAGAUAAGGGGAAUUUGACUAUUUAAUUAAAAUAUAGUAUUAUAAUAGUUAGAAAGUAGUAUUAAUGCAAUAUAAUUUCUAUUUAGUAUUUUAAAUAUUAAAGUAAAGAAAUUUAAUUAAGUACAGGUAAACGGCAGGAGUAACUAUAAUUCUCUUAAAGUAACUAAAUACUUCAUUAUUUAAUUAGUAAUAUAUAUAAAUAGAUUAACAAAAUUCCUACUAUCUCUAUUUACUAUCUAGCGAAACCAUAACCAAAGGAAUAGGUUUAGUAGAAUUAACGGGGAAAGAAAACCCUAUUAAACUUAAUUUUAAUUUAAUAUUAUAAAAAGAUAUAGGAGGUAUAAAAUAAGUAAGAACUUUAACGUUAAUAAAAUACUACUACUCCUAUUAUUUUUUUACUUAUUUAAUUAAAUAGGGUUAGAUUUUUAUCCAACUUCUAAUUUUAAAGUCCUUCGCGGGCCGACCCAAGUUAAAAACAUUAUUAGGUAGGGAGUUUAGUUAAGGCGGUACAUUUAUUAAAUUAUAAUGUAAGUAUCUUAAGGGGGGUUUAUAAAGAAUAAAAAUCUUUAAUAGAAUAAAAGGGUAAAAGUCCCUUUAAUUUUAAUUUUUAAUAUAAAUAUAAACUAUAAAAGUAUAGUUUAUUAAUUCUUUAAUCCUUCGAAAUUUGAAGCUAGAGGUGCUAAAAAAGUUACUAUAGGGAUAAUUAGCUUAUAGUAGCCAAAUAUUUAUAGCGACGUUGCUUUUUAAUCUUUCAAUAUCGGCUCUUCCUAUUAUAUUAAAAUAGAAUUUAAUAAAUAUUAAAUUAUUUACUUAUUAAUAAAGAAUAUAAAUUAAAUUUAAAUUAUUGUAAAAUAGGUUAAUUUUACCCUAUUAAUAACUUUAUUAUAAUAGUAAUUAAAUUUAGUACGAGAGGAACCGCUUAUUUAAAUAAUUAGUUUUUACAAUUGUCCGACCGGGUAGUACUAUAAUACUACUAUUUACUAAAUAAUAGUUAAAUACUUUUAAAUUAAAAUUUAUAUUAAAACGCAAUAAUACCUCUAGUAUAUUAUAGACGUAUAAAAAUAAGCUCCGGCCUCGUAUCUUAGUAGGCGAUUCCUCUAUUAGUUUU
rnacentral:rRNA from 2 species